CAGUGAAAUUGAACUCGCUGUGAAGAUGCAGUGUACCCGCGGCAAGACGGAAAGACCCCGUGAACCUUUACUAUAGCUUGACACUGAACAUUGAGCCUUGAUGUGUAGGAUAGGUGGGAGGCUUUGAAGUGUGGACGCCAGUCUGCAUGGAGCCGACCUUGAAAUACCACCCUUUAAUGUUUGAUGUUCUAACGUUGACCCGUAAUCCGGGUUGCGGACAGUGUCUGGUGGGUAGUUUGACUGGGGCGGUCUCCUCCUAAAGAGUAACGGAGGAGCACGAAGGUUGGCUAAUCCUGGUCGGACAUCAGGAGGUUAGUGCAAUGGCAUAAGCCAGCUUGACUGCGAGCGUGACGGCGCGAGCAGGUGCGAAAGCAGGUCAUAGUGAUCCGGUGGUUCUGAAUGGAAGGGCCAUCGCUCAACGGAUAAAAGGUACUCCGGGGAUAACAGGCUGAUACCGCCCAAGAGUUCAUAUCGACGGCGGUGUUUGGCACCUCGAUGUCGGCUCAUCACAUCCUGGGGCUGAAGUAGGUCCCAAGGGUAUGGCUGUUCGCCAUUUAAAGUGGUACGCGAGCUGGGUUUAGAACGUCGUGAGACAGUUCGGUCCCUAUCUGCCGUGGGCGCUGGAGAACUGAGGGGGGCUGCUCCUAGUACGAGAGGACCGGAGUGGACGCAUCACUGGUGUUCGGGUUGUCAUGCCAAUGGCACUGCCCGGUAGCUAAAUGCGGAAGAGAUAAGUGCUGAAAGCAUCUAAGCACGAAACUUGCCCCGAGAUGAGUUCUCCCUGACUCCUUGAGAGUCCUGAAGGAACGUUGAAGACGACGACGUUGAUAGGCCGGGUGUGUAAGCGCAGCGAUGCGUUGAGCUAACCGGUACUAAUGAACCGUGAGGCUUAACCUU
rnacentral:rRNA from 1 species